rnacentral:rRNA from 1 species
GACGAACGCUGGCGGCGUGCUUAACACAUGCAAGUCGAACGAAGUGGCGAACGGGUGAGUAACGCGUAAUCAACCUGCCCUUCAGAGGGGGACAACAGUUGGAAACGACUGCUAAUCCCGCAUACUGAAGGAGGGGAUUGCGUCGGAUUAGCUAGUUGGAGGGGUAACGGCCCACCAAGGCGAGGAUCAGUAGCCGGGCUUGGAGGAUGAACGGCCAAAUUGGGACUGAGACACGGCCCAGACUCCUACGGGAGGCAGCAGGGGGGAAUCUUCGGCAAUGGACGAAAGUCUUACGGAGCAACGCCGCGGGAGUGAUGACGGCCUUCGGGUUGGAAAGCUCUGUUAAUCGGGACGCGGUACCGGAAUAGAAAGCCACGGCUAACUACGUGCCAGCAGCCGCGGUAAUAC